AUUGAACGCUGGCGGCAGGCUUAACACAUGCAAGUCGAGCGAGCGGCGGACGGGUGAGUAAUGUCUGGGAAACUGCCUGAUGGAGGGGGAUAACUACUGGAAACGGUAGCAAAUACAGCAUACGACCCGUUGUGCCCAGAUGGGAUUAGCUAGUAGGUGGGGUAAGGGCUCACCUAGUCGACGAUCCCUAGCGGGUCUGGGAGGAUGACCAGCCACACUGUAACUGAGACACGGUCCAGACUCCUACGGGAGGCAGCAGUGGGGAAGAUUGCACAAUGGGCGCAAGCCUGAUGCAGCCAUGCCGCGGGUGUGAAGAAGGCCUUCGGGUUGUAAAGCACUUUCAGCGAGGAGGCGUUACUCGCAGAAGAAGCACCGGCUAACUCCGUGCCAGCAGCCGCGGUAAUAC
rnacentral:rRNA from 1 species